rnacentral:rRNA from 1 species
ACUCCUACGGGAGGCAGCAGUGGGAAUAUUGCACAAUGGGGGAAACCCUGAUGCAGCCAUGCCGCGUGUGUGAAGAAGGCCUUCGGGUUGUAAAGCACUUUCAGCGAGGAGGAAAGGGUGUGUGUUAAUACCAUACAUCUGUUGACGUUACUCGCAGAAGAAGCACCGGCUAACUCCGUGCCAGCAGCCGCGGUAAUACGGAGGGUGCGAGCGUUAAUCGGAAUUACUGGGCGUAAAGCGUGCGCAGGCGGUUUGUUAAGCGAGAUGUGAAAGCCCGC